AUUAAUAGGUCAUAACAGAGCGAUUUAAAAUCCUUAGAUACAUUAUGAAUGCACAUCUUCAUGAAAUCUAAAAUCUAAAAUUUUAUAUUUUGUUGCGUAUUAAUAUAACGUUCCAUAGCUUUAAUUAACAAUUUAAAACGUAAGUUUUAUUGCUGGCAGAUUCAUAACUAUCAAUUAAUGGAAAAUAAUACAAGGAAAUCGUUAGUUCUUAUAUCAAAUAAAUACCUACAUAUACGCUAAUAGCUCGAAUAGUUUUAUUUAAACUCUUGUUUAUUAUAUGAAAUAUAAAUACAUACACUACAGUAUGAAUAAAGAAUUAAUAUUAGUCAAACAUAUUUCAUAUGACAAUUAUUUUAGUAGGGAAUGUAUCCAGGGCAUAAUUUACUUAAAUUUUUUGGGUGUAAUCGUGAAUUUCGUUGUGACUUGGGCCAAAAAAUUUUGAAUAAAUAAAACUGUUUGAUAUCUACCUAUAAAUUUCGGAAUAAUAUACAUAAUCGAAAGUUAAUACGGUUACUCAUAAUAAAUCCAUAAUAGACUCGUAUUUUAUUUAUUUGAAGGCAUCUUAUAUCGGAAUUUAUAUUAGGAAACGUAUAUAAACAUUGUGGGCACCGUAACACACAAAUACUUGUCAAACCGAAAUCAAGGCUUUGUGGGUAACAAAAUGUAGUAAAUAUCAAUAACUAUUCUGUGGUAACACUGAAAGCCGGCGGCAUUUAAGCCAAUAAGGCGGUUAGGCAAUUAGUAAUGAAUAUUAUCUCGACUACAAGAUAUAAGUAUUCUGGAAAGUGUUUCCAUUAAAUAGGUUUACAUAGAUAUUAUAUGCAGUAAGCACCUUCGAAACAAUGGACUAUUGUGGGGAUUUAAUUGAUUUUUCAUAAUCAAAACUGACGCUACUCCGUAGUGAAGCCAAAGGACCUUCUGUCGCUAAAAUCGGCGACGAAGUGCUUAUCCUUCUUAAAUGGCGAAAUCAAAAUUUGGAUACACAAAAUAAAAAGAAAAGUGUUCAUUUAUGUCUGAUUACAAGCGAUUUACCGUAUCGAACGGUGUCACUGCAAGCACAGCUACUCUGUGUCGAGAAGCCGGCACCGACUACCGCGCGAUUUCACCGAACUAUGCC